UGAAUCCCUGGCAUCAGAUUACUACCCCCCCGCGUACGCGUAUAUAACUGAUGAAAACAUGGGCAGGUUGGAAAGGCCUAAUUUAAUUUCUUCCGGAGUGCACAUCAUCCGGCCUCUCGUCUCCUCCUCCGAACAAUCCGCCCUUCUCCGACCCCGGUUGCUGUUUUUUUAGUCCGUGCCACGCCACGCCGGCCAGCCGAGCAUUCUCUUCCGUUUUUAAUCUCUCUUCUUUCUCUCUGUCUCCCUUCCCUUCUCCUCUCUCCUCCUUCCUUCCUCUGCCGCGAGGAGGGGGGGAAAGAGAAGAAGCGGACGCCCACGGAGAGAAGAGGAGGAGGAGCCGGCCGGAGUAGUCAGUCCGUGGAGGAACCAGUUGCUCUCCUCCCUCCUUCGCUUCCGUUUCAGGCGCGCCGCCGCAGCCAUGACACCAUUCUACCUUGCGCGCAGUGCUUCCAAGGUGUUGAGGAGGAUCACCUCCGAGACGUCGGUCGAGCUCAAGAUCCUCUCCCAGAAAUGGCGCCUUCUCCUCGCGGGCGUGCUCUUCCAGUACAUUCAUGGUUUGGCAGCACGAGGGGUCCAUUAUUUGCACAGGCCAGGACCCACCCUUCAAGAUCUUGGUUUCAUGGUUCUUCCGGAGCUUGGGAAAGAAAGGGGUUACAUCAGUGAGACCUUAUUUACAUUCAUCUUCCUCUCCUUUGUGUUGUGGACAUUUCAUCCUUUCAUCCUUCAAACCAAGCGCUUCUACACUGUUCUUAUUUGGCGCAGGGUGCUUGCUUUCUUAUGUGCUUCUCAGUUCUUGCGUAUAGUGACAUUCUAUUCCACACAACUUCCAGGACCUAAUUAUCAUUGCCGUGAGGGUUCACCUCUUGCCAGACUACCACCACCACAAAAUGUAGCUGAGGUGCUUCUCAUUAAUUUCCCAAGAGGUGUAAUUUAUGGAUGCGGCGACUUGAUUUUUUCAUCCCACAUGAUCUUUACUCUGGUCUUUGUUAUAACCUACCAGAAAUAUGGGAGUAUAAGGUUUAUAAAGGUGCUUGCAUGGUGCAUAGCUGUUGCUCAGAGUCUUCUGAUAGUUGCUUCUCGCAAGCACUACAGUGUUGAUGUUGUCGUUGCAUGGUGGAUAAAUAAACAUUCCACUAUUGCAUGUGUCCGCAAUACCUUUUCUCGUCUUUGUUGAUGUAUCUCCUCUAUGCAGAUCACUCUGUUUGUCUCUUCAGAGCUUCCUGAUCGAUCAGCUGUAUCAGCAUCAGCACUACCUCUAAGUGUGAAGGAUAUCAAAUUGAAAGAAGAAAGCACUAGGCUGCUGAAUGGUAACUCUGUUGAGGCUGCUGAUCGGAGACCAAGAACACAAAUUAAUGGAAAGCCCCUUGAGAAUGGCAAUCAUCUUGAUACUGAAACAACAAUAACGUGAUGAUUAAUUUCAAUGGAAUGGUUCUGGCUAUUCAAAAGCCAUCCUUCUGGUGGUCUAGACAGGAUACUUUUAAAGGCAUCUACGCGCUGUGGUGCCUAGCACCUGUUAUGGCUUCAGUGGUAGUUCUGAAGAAAACAGUCUGGAGCCUUUUCUGAUUCUAGGUUGCAGAAAUUUUGUUCCAACACAAUCUUACUGUUGUCUCACCGUAACAACCCUUGCUUUCUGAUCUCUAGUUUUCUCUCUAAUUUCUCGACAUAUUCAUUUAUACGAAGUGUAUAUAGUCUGCACAUUACUGAGAUUCUUUGCAAAUUGUAGUCUCCUCGAAAUUCUAACAUGUCCUGCUCGGCACCUGCAUUCCAAAAUAAA